AUACGUAGGUGGCAAGCGUUGUCCGGAAUUAUUGGGCGUAAAGCGCGCGCAGGCGGCCCUUUAAGCCUGAUGUGAAAGCCCACGGCUCAACCGUGGAGGGUCAUUGGAAACUGGGGGACUUGAGUGCAGAAGAGGAAAGUGGAAUUCCAAGUGUAGCGGUGAAAUGCGUAGAGAUUUGGAGGAACACCAGUGGCGAAGGCGACUUUCUGGUCUGUAACUGACGCUGAGUCGCGAAAGCGUGGGGAGCAAACAGGAUUAGAUACCCUGGUAGUCCACGCCGUAAACGAUGAGUGCUAAGUGUUAGGGGGUUUCCGCCCCUUAGUGCUGCAGCUAACGCAUUAAGCACUCCGCCUGGGGAGUACGGUCGCAAGACUGAAACUCAAAUGAAUUGACGGGG
rnacentral:rRNA from 1 species